rnacentral:misc_RNA from 1 species
CUCUUAACCCGAUUCUUGCCACCACCAUUAGAGUUAGAUCCAUUUGUUUGUCCAUUCUGAUGCAAUGUCUUUCUUGAUCCACUCUGCAAAGUGUCAUUAAGAAUACAUGCAGGAGGUCCACAUUCUUCCCCAGUGCAUAUACUAACACCUUAUCAAACAUCUCUGCUAGCUCGCUUUCGUCUGCAUAAACUGCAGACUGUUUGUUGCUCCUUUCUUCCUGCAAAUCUUCUUCCUCUCGAUCGUGAUUCUUCUUUCCUUUAAUCAUAUUAGGCAAGUAUUCCCUCUCCUCCUUCUCUACCUUCACUGCCACCUUUGUAUCUUUUUCCUUCAACUUUGGCAUCGAUACAGCCUCCAAAUCAAUAAGCAGUUGAUUACCCUUAGGAAGGAACUUAUUAGCUUCCUCUACACCUUUCUGGAACUGCAAUACCAAUUCACUCUCACUGAAUGGAUUUGACACCAUUAUCUUACCAAAUGAGGACCCCAUCAAAUCAUUACCAUUUCUUGCUAACCCAUUUUGUAAUUCACUCUCACUGAACAAAUUUGGCAAUAUAAUCUUACCAAUAGAA